rnacentral:tRNA from 1 species
GUCGUGGUGGCCGAGUGGUUAAGGUGUUUGACUCGAAAUCCAAUCCUACGGAGACACUCGGUCGUAGUUGCCAAGUGGUUAUGGCGUGUUACUCGAAAUCAAAUAGACUUUUCUCGCACAGGUUCGAAUCUUGUCCACGACG